GAUUACGACCAUAUCACGUUGAAAGCACCGGUUCCCUUUCGAACACCGAAGUUAAGCAACGUUGAGCCUGGUUAGUACUUGGAUGGGUGACCGCCUGGGAAUCCCAGGUGUCGUAAUCU